ensembl:lncRNA
CCCAAAUCCUGCGGCCGUUCAGCUCCUGCAGGCUCCCAUCCUGUUGCCCCCGGAGCUGAGCCGUGGUGGGGCCGGGAGCGAGGCCCCUCGGUGUGCACAGAGCCGCGAGGGAGGGCGUUUGGGAGCCUUUGUGGCGCAGCCCUGCGGCCCCCCGGCCGCCAGCCCCUGCCCCCGCGGGCUCUCGGGGGGGAGAUGAGCUCAGGCGGCUCCAGCUCCAGCUCCCUCCAUUGUUGUCCCUGGGAGAGGGGCCGAGGCAGGGCCGUGCCAUUGUUCUCCCCGGGAGCGGCGGCGCCCCCUUGGCCCGGGCUGGGAUUUGAUUCCUUCCCCUCGCCGGCCGCAGCACGCGGGCUUGGCCCGGGUGCAGCCUGGCUCCGCUCGGGGCCAGGCACGGGCAGCCAGCUGGCCCCAGCGCCAGCACCGCAGGGCCGGGACGUGUCCCCACCUCGCCCCCCGCCCGCAGCCAGCACAGGGCAGGGGGAAAACCCGAAGCCCCCUGAAAUAUGGGCACGGGGUGGGAAGGGGCUCCUGGGUCAGGGACCCCUGCCUGCUGCAGCUGAGAGCACGGAGGGGCCCCGGCACCCCCCGGCUUCUGGAAAGCCCCCGGCAGCCUCCGCAGCGCCCAGGCUGGAUGCGGCCCCGUCUGCGCUCAGCCACCGCGACAUUUGUUGGUCUGCUUUAAAUCACCGGCUCCAGGAGUCAGAUGACAACUCAGCCUGUUGUUGUUGUUGUUGUUAUUAUUAUUAUUAUUAUCAUUAUUAUUAUUACAAAUGCUUGAGCAAGUUGCCAGCCCAGGGGAGGGGAAGGACCUGGGAUUUCGGCAGCUGAACCUGGCUCCUCGGCUGACCCAGGCUCCUAAAUCAGAGGGAAAUGCAACCCCCCUCCGCCCAGCCCUCAGCUCCAGCUCGGGCGUUUUGUGGUCCAGCCCAGGCAAGAGCGAAGCUGAGCAAGCUCCGGCCGAGAGCCAGCACCGCCCGCGCUGCACCGCGCCUCCGCCACCGUCCUGGGGCUGCUCCCCAACACCCCUCCCCCAGGGACUCCCCCAAAUCCCCCCAGCCUGCCCCUGCCCUUGCCUCGCCCUCGCUGACCCCAAGGUGAUGGGCACAGGGGUGCCCCUGGGGCAUCGAGCGGGGUCACCUCGGGCAGGGCUUGCAUCAGGCACCACCGCUGGCCCUGCCGCCCCAUCCUGCUCCUGCCCCACAGCCUGCCCCCCCCCGGGGACUACCCAUCCCAUAAUGCCCCGUGCCACCCCACAGUGGGUGGGGUCAGUGGGUUCCCACAGUGCAUUGUGGGGGGUGUAGUUUGCUGCCCCACUUUGGGGCGCAGCAUUGGGGCGCAGCAUCCCCCGUGGCCAUCCCUCAGCCCCACACCUCCUGCCCCAUGGCCGGGGGGGAGCUCAGGGUGGCUGCCUGGGGGGUGUCUGGCUGGAGGGGGGGGCACCAUCAGGCAGUGAGCGCACCCCCAGGGCUCAAACCAAGGGUGUCUGCCCCAUCCUGCCUGCACGGAGGGUGGGGACAGGGCUGGCACCCAGCUGGGGUCCUGCAGAACCCAAGCCUGUGCCAAGGGCCGGGGGCGAUGCCGGUGUGGGGUCCUGGGGGGGGGCGUGGGGCAGCCUUGGGGGGCGGGGGGUGUGGGACGGUGUGUCCCACGGGUGCCCCAACGCGCUGACACACGGGCGCACACUCAGCGCGGCGGCAUCCCCACCCCUCGCGCCUGCCCACUGCUCCACUUGGAGCCGCACCAAGAAUGCGGGGACCUCACCCGCGCGGGGGGCACGGUGCCAGCCCCGGGGCCGCAGGCACCCCGUCCUCCCUGCUGCUGCCUCGGGGGGGCCGGGGCUGCUCUCAAAGGGACGGGGACCCUGCGGGGUGUCUGGGCACCCCACGCACCAUGGGCUCUGGCACAGGGUGGGGUGCAGGAGGGCGCAGACACGAGCACCCGUGCAGGCUCCCCAGCACUGUCCCUGCCCUCUGCUGGGGCUGGCACCCACCAAAACAGCGAGACCGGGAGGAGGAAAACAAGCCCCGAGGGCGGGUGGUGCCACAGGAAACCCCAGCCCAGCGGGGCUGAGGACAGGAGGAGGCGCUUCCUCCCGGCCUCGGCGCUGCAUGCGCUUGUGCACCCUCUCCGUGGCACCUCGCAGCACACUGCACUUGUGCACGUGCUCGCUGCAUGCACAGACACCAGCACGCACUCCUGGACGUGUGCUCGUGUCCAUGCACACUCGCCCAGGCCCCCUGCACGCUCAGCCUGCUGCUGCACCCCCUGGCCUGGCCGGACGCUGGCUCACGCCGCUCACACACAUCCCGUCAUGGGCACACGCACCCCCUCGCUUCCCGGCCGGGCCGCGCUCUCCCCCCGGCCACAGUUCCUGUUUAUGGUGAUGGAGCCGCCUGCCCGGCCCCCCCUGCACCAGGAGGGUUGGCCGGGGUGGGGGGCACCGCCGUGUCCCGCUGCAUGGCCCCGGUGCUGCCCCUGCGCCCUGUGCUGGAUCCCGGAUCCCGGUGCCACUUAGGGCGGUGGAGCUCGUUCCUGGCCGGUGGCCACGUGGGGCUGCGUGCUCCCCCCACGGAUGUGGGGCCACGGCUUUAUUCUGGGAAGAGCGGCAGGAAAUCCUGGUGGGAAUGCGAGCCGGACCCCGUGUGUCACCGGCGCUGUCACCACAAAGGAGCUGCUGGGCACGGUGUGCCGGGAGGUCCCCGCAGCUCCCCGAGCAUCGCCCGAGCCGGCUCCGUCCUUCCGUGGGCCCUGCCCCGUCUGCCCGCAGCGGGACCGUGCUGAGCCCAUUUCCCAGCUUGGGGGAAUCGAGGCCGAGGGGGAAGUGACGUGUACAGGGUCGGGGUGAGUCAGUGGGAGCUAAGAAUAGAUGGAGGAAUCCAGCCCUGGGCCGGACCCACUGCGCCGCAUUCCCCAGCACCGAGCCGCGCUGCAGGGCUCAGCUCCCCUGUGCUACCUGUGGGGAAACUGAGGCAGCGGCGGGGGGGAAGUGACUCACUCCACACCGUGGCCUGCUAAACACCCUGCUCUGAUUAGAUAAUGGGCGGAAGGAUCAGAGAGAGCCGAACAACUCCUCAUUAAACCUUUGUCUCCCCAUAGCGCCUUCAGCUCCCAACGGGGACCUUGGCCACGCUGCCUGGCGCGGGGGCAGCCCUGCCCCGAAACGCCGCUCACACCCGCCGCGUGCUGCAGCGCGUGGGCAGGAGCACGCCCCAACACCCCAGGAACCCGCGGAGGCAGAGGCUGUCCUGGCCAUAAACGGGGCUGGGGGGGCCAAACCUGAGCCCCCCACGCUCACAGAGCCCGGAGCCAGGCGCUUCUCUCCCUCCUCGGUGCAUGUGGCUGCUGAGAGCACCCAUGGGACACCGAGAGCCCCCUCGGGUGUGCACGGAUCGUGGGAAUCCGGCAUCCACAGCCCCCUGCUGGGCUGGGGGGGUGGCGGGCAGGAAACGAGCUCCCCGAUCGCUUUGGCAGCGAUGGUGAAAGAAGUACCCGGGGCGGAGGAGCUCGAGCGGGCAGGAGGUGCCGUGCCACGGCUCUCCCUGCUCCCCUCCUGCCUUUUGCUCUUUUCUUUCUCCUCUGCCCUGCGCACGGUGCAACGAGUGCCCAGAACUCGGCCCCGUGGGGUGUUUACUGUAGCGAGAUUCAACCCAAGGCCAAGAUAGGCCUCCAGAUAAGGCCAGCAUCUCGGGGAGGCCGGCGGCUCCCGGGCAGCCCUCCCGCUCCUGGGGCCAGGGUCAGGCAAGCAGAAGGUCUCUGCAGGCGGCUGAGUUCGGGUCAGGCCGGCUGCACCGGCCCCGCCGCCACCCGGGCUGGAAAAGCCCCCCCCAGGGAAGGGGAGGCCAGUCCUGAUCCCACUCCCCCCCUCCCAGCACAGCCCUGCAGGUCGCCCAUGGGUGCUCCCUGCAUGGGUGCUGCCGACAGGGCCGGCCUGUGGGGCCCCGGUGACGUGGGGCGCUCUGCAGGAUUAGGUUUUGAGGGGAAAUGCGAUACGGCAGCGAUAGGUUAGGCUGCAGGAGAUUAGAUCAUCUGUGGUUUUGGGAGCACCAGCAGAGCGGGGUUCUGCUGCAACCUCUGCAGCGCCCGCCCCGCGUUGCCCAUCGGCGCCGAUCGGCCAAAAACGCAGCGGCACCGACCCCUCCCCCGGCACCGGGAGAGCCUCGGGAGCCUGCGUGCACGCGGGGCAUGCCCAGGAAAACAAGAACCAAAUAAAAGCAAAAGAGAAACUUGAGAGCAGCGCAGGAGACCUCCGUGGAGCGGAGACCAAGCGUUGCCUCUCACCUUUGGCUGCUCCUGAGAGCCAACAGAGCAAAAAGCCUCAGCUUCGGGUUGUCGCUGAGGUGAAUUGCCAAGAAAGUUUUGAGCCCCUCUUGGAGCCGCAGGAACCAGGCUGCAGCACGGGGCACAGCAUCACCGGGCAGCAAACAGAGCCCAGGCACCGUGGCUCACCGGGGUCACAGCCCCUAUCCUGGCACCAUGGAGCUGCCCACGGCCCCCGGGCGCAGGGUGCUCGUGCUCCUUGUGCCGUGCUGGGACCCUGCGCCCCUG